rnacentral:rRNA from 1 species
AGUUUGAUCCUGGCUCAGAACGAACGCUGGCGGCAGGCUUAACACAUGCAAGUCGAACGCUCCGCAAGGAGAGUGGCAGACGGGUGAGUAACACGUGGGAACGUACCCUUUACUACGGAACAACUCCGGGAAACUGGAGCUAAUACCGUAUGUGCCCUUCGGGGGAAAGAUUUAUCGGUAAAGGAUCGGCCCGCGUUGGAUUAGCUAGUUGGUGUGGUAAAGGCGCACCAAGGCGACGAUCCUUAGCUGGUCUGAGAGGAUGAUCAGCCACACUGGGACUGAGACACGGCCCAGACUCCUACGGGAGGCAGCAGUGGGGAAUAUUGGACAAUGGGCGCAAGCCUGAUCCAGCAAUGCCGCGUGAGUGAUGAAGGCCUUAGGGUUGUAAAGCUCUUUUACCCGGGAUGAUAAUGACAGUACCGGGAGAAUAAGCCCCGGCUAACUCCGUGCCAGCAGCCGCGGUAA